rnacentral:tRNA from 1 species
CGGGGCGUAGCGCAGUCUGGUAGCGCACCUGCUUUGGGAGCAGGGGGUCCCCAGUUCGAAUCUGGGCGCCCCGACCA